rnacentral:rRNA from 1 species
GACAGAGGGUGCAAACGUUUGUUCGGAAUUACUGGGCGUAAAGCGUGUGUAGGCGGCUACGCAAGUCGGAUGUGAAAGCCCUGGGCUCAACUCAGGAAGUGCACCCGAUACUGCGAAGCUAGAGUACCGGAGAGGUUGGUAGAAUUCUCGGUGUAGAGGUGAAAUUCGUAGAUAUCGAGAGGAAUACCUGUGGCGAAGGCGGCCAACUGGACGAGUACUGACGCUGAGACACGAAGACGUGGGAGCAAACAGG